rnacentral:rRNA from 1 species
UACGUAGGGGGCAAGCGUUAUUCAUCAUAAUUGGGCGUAUAGGGUACGUAGGCUGUUUUUAAAGUUUAAAGUGAAAUACUAAGGCUUAACCUUAGAACGCUUUCUAUGUUUCUAAAAACUUGAGUUAAAGUAAGGUUAGUGGUACUCUCAGUGUAGAGGUGGAAUUCGUAAAAAUUGAAGGGGACCACCAUCGGGCGAAGGCGACUAACUGGCUUUAACUGACGCUGAUGUACGAAAGCACAGGUAGCAAACAGG